rnacentral:lncRNA from 1 species
CCUUUCCGAUUCUGACACAUAUCAAGUUUUAUUCAAAACCUAAAACAAAAAAACAAAUAAGACCGAACUAUACAUGCAUUCAUAUCUUCGUAAGUUCACGGUCACCUAAGAUAUUUUACUUCUGGGUUGUUAAAGUCGCCCUUCCCUUCAAAACAAUGAUUUUGCGCGAACAGUAUAUUAACGAGUUAUCUCCCUCCGUCUGGACUGG